AUGCUAGAAGAUCCUUGUGAAGAUGGGAAUGAUGAUGAUGAUGAGGAAGACAAUGCCAUUGUGUUUGUUGAUGAUGCUACUGAGAAAAGGAAGAAAGGGAAGAAAAGGAAAAGAGAAAAGAUAAUACAGACUAGGUGCAAAGCCAAGAUGAUAGUAAAAUUCAUUGAUGGCCAUUGGGAAGUCACUUAUUUCAUUGCUGAGCAUAACCAUCCAUUGAUCGACAAAACUUCCUUGACUAAAUAUUUACGAUCACACCAAGGCAUCCCCCCAGAAGAGAAGCUGUUUCUAAAGAACCUUCAUAACUGCAACUUAACUACAAGUGAAUGA
rnacentral:rRNA from 1 species